rnacentral:rRNA from 1 species
GACGAACGCUGGCGGCGUGCUUAACACAUGCAAGUCGAACGGAAAGGCCCUGCUUUUGUGGGGUGCUCGAGUGGCGAACGGGUGAGUAACACGUGAGUAACCUGCCCUUGACUUUGUGAUAACUUCAGGAAACUGGGGCUAAUACCGGAUAGGAGCUCCUGCUGCAUGGUGGGGGUUGGAAAGUUUCGGCGGUUGGGGCUGGACUCGCGGGUUAUCAGCUUGUUGGUGGGGUAGUGACUUACCAAGGCUUUGACGGGUAGCCGGCCUGGGAGGUUGACCGGCCACAAUGGGACUGCGAGAGGGCCCAGACGCCUACGGGAGGCAGCAGGGGGGAAUAUUGCACAAUGGGCGGAAGCCAGAUGCAGCAACGCCGCGUGCGGGAUGACGGCCUUCGGGUUGUAAACCGCUUUCGCCGGUGACGUAGCGUGAGUGACGGUAAUGGGUAAAGAAGCACCGGCUAACUACGUG